AAAAAAGAAAAAAAAAAAGAAAAAGAAAAGAAUGACACGUACUUGCUUGUUAUAGUCUGAUCAUCAGCUUGUUCUCUGUAGAAAAUGAUCAAAAUUAAUAUAUAAUAAUAAAAUUAUUUUCUAAGAAUAAGUUUUGCCUUACUGAGUAAGUUGUAAGCUCUUCCCAUGAGGAAAUAUUAAUUAAUUAAUUAUUUAAUUAUUUACUAUUAAUUUAAUUAUUUACCUUUUAUUUUUAUUAAUUAAUUAUCUAAAUUU
rnacentral:misc_RNA from 1 species